rnacentral:rRNA from 1 species
AGCGAACGCUGGCGGCAGGCCUAACACAUGCAAGUCGAACGAACUCUUCGGAGUUAGUGGCGGACGGGUGAGUAACACGUGGGAACGUGCCUUUAGGUUCGGAAUAACUCAGGGAAACUUGUGCUAAUACCGAAUGUGCCCUUCGGGGGAAAGAUUUAUCGCCUUUAGAGCGGCCCGCGUCUGAUUAGCUAGUUGGUGAGGUAAAGGCUCACCAAGGCGACGAUCAGUAGCUGGUCUGAGAGGAUGAUCAGCCACAUUGGGACUGAGACACGGCCCAAACUCCUACGGGAGGCAGCAGUGGGGAAUCUUGCGCGAUGGGCGAAAGCCUGACGCAGCCAUGCCGCGUGAAUGAUGAAGGUCUUAGGAUUGUAAAAUUCUUUCACCGGGGACGAUAAUGACGGUACCCGGAGAAGAAGCCCCGGCUAACUUCGUGCCAGCAGCCGCAGUAACAC